rnacentral:rRNA from 1 species
GUGUCAGCAGCCGCGGUAAUACGAAGGGGGCUAGCGUUACUCGGAAUUACUGGGCGUAAAGGGCGCGUAGGCGGCUUGACCAGUCAGGCGUGAAAUUCCUGGGCUUAACCUGGGGACUGCGCUUGAUACUGUUGGGCUUGAGGCCGAGAGAGGGUGGUGGAAUUCCCAGUGUAGAGGUGAAAUUCGUAGAUAUUGGGAAGAACACCGGUGGCGAAGGCGACCACCUGGCUCGGUACUGACGCUGAGGCGCGACAGCGUGGGGAGCAAACAGGAUUAGAUACCCUGGUAGUCC